rnacentral:rRNA from 1 species
GUGGGGAAUCUUGCGCAAUGGGCGAAAGCCUGACGCAGCCAUGCCGCGUGAAUGAUGAAGGUCUUAGGAUUGUAAAAUUCUUUCACCGGGGACGAUAAUGACGGUACCCGGAGAAGAAGCCCCGGCUAACUUCGUGCCAGCAGCCGCGGUAAUACGAAGGGGGCUAGCGUUGCUCGGAAUUACUGGGCGUAAAGGGCGCGUAGGCGGACAGUUUAGUCAGAGGUGAAAGCCCAGGGCUCAACCUUGGAAUUGCCUUUGAUACUGGCUAUCUUGAGUACGGGAGAGGUGAGUGGAACUCCGAGUGUAGAGGUGAAAUUCGUAGAUAUUCGGAAGAACACCAGUGGCGAAGGCGACUCACUGGCCCGUUACUGACGCUGAGGCGCGAAAGCGUGGGGAGCAAACAGGAUUAGAAACCCUUGUAGUCC